AUUGAACGCUGGCGGCAGGCUUAACACAUGCAAGUCGAACGAGUGGCGGACGGGUGAGUAAUGCUUGGGAAUCUGGCUUAUGGAGGGGGAUAACGACGGGAAACUGUCGCUAAUACCGGGUACAAUAGGAUGAGCCCAAGUGGGAUUAGCUAGUUGGUGGGGUAAUGGCCUACCAAGCCGACGAUCUCUAGCUGGUCUGAGGGGAUGACGCGCCACACCGUGACUGAGACACGGCCCGGACGCCUACGGUAGGCAGCAGUGGGGAAUAUUGCGCGAUGGAGGCAACCUGACGCAGCCAUGCCGCGUGAAUGAAGAAGGCCCUCGGGUUGUAAAGUUCUGUCGGUGACGAGACGUUAAUCACAGAAGAAGCACCGGCUAACUCCGUGCCAGCAGCCGCGGUAAUAC
rnacentral:rRNA from 1 species